rnacentral:lncRNA from 1 species
GCUGGGAUGCUAUGUUAUAAAUGCUCAUAUCUUAGAGUUGGUAACAUUUAUGUGCAUUUAUUUUUAUUUAAGAGACCUUUGACUGUAUAUUGUUUAAUCUAAGCAUAUUAUUUGAUCUCUGAGUGCUGCCUUUCUGAAUGCUCAGUUGUCAUUGAAAGUGUUUAAAAUACAGUCACUCUAAAUUCUAAAAUAGCCCUGAUUGCAAAAUGUCAGUGGAAUUUGAAGCAUCAUUUAAGGGUGAUGAAUUAAUUAGGCAGAAUGACUCUCCAUUAGAAACUGAACAAGGAGCCAUCGGUGGGAUUACACCAGAAAAUGAGAAUAUUGAGGGUGUUGUGAGGGAUCGCCAUGCAUCGUGCACCGAGAGAUCUGAAGAAAGGCAAAGAGAGCUUAAUUCUGCUUUACCAAAAAUCAAUGAAACAAGAAAAUCUGUUUGUGACAAACGCUUAACGUCAAAGAUGCAGGAGUUAAAAGAGCAAGAACUUGCCCAAAGGGAAAGGAAAUUUAAGUCUGCAUAUGAGAAAUGGAAGACUCAUGUCCGAGAUGUGCGUUCAAGGUUAAAGCAUAAAUGCUCAGAGGCUGAGCUGUAUGAUAUGAUGGAUACUGUUGAGAAACAAGAAUCUGUACUGAAAGAGAUAUAUGAUAACAUGCGAUGCCAAGCCCCACCAAACCAAGAAAUAAGGAGAAAUGUUGACACAUGUGUAGCUGUGACUGCAGAGCUACUCAAACUGAUGAAGGUUCGCUCGGUUGAAGAUGAGCUAGACUUUGAUCCGGAGGCAGAGAAGGCAAGAUUACGCUUGCUGCUUGACAAUGAAUAUGCUAAGUCCAUAUGUGGAUCUACAGCUUCCAGGGCCACUGGUGUUAGUCGUCACUCAAAGGCUCUUUCAGAGUCUGCAAGUAUUUCAGUUAAAAGAGCCGAGAUUGCUGCACAAUUGGCAGCAAAGAAAGCUGAAGUUGAAAUAGAGGCUGAAAUAGAGGUACAACGGCAGCAUCUGAAGAAGCUUGAACAUCGUAGAGACAUUGAGGUGAUGGAAGCACAGCUAAAAGUGUACACGGAGGAGG